GACGAACGCUGGCGGCGUGCCUAAUACAUGCAAGUCGAACGCUUCUUUCCUCCCGAGUGCUUGCACUCAAUUGGAAAGAGGAGUGGCGGACGGGUGAGUAACACGUGGGUAACCUACCCAUCAGAGGGGGAUAACACUUGGAAACAGGUGCUAAUACCGCAUAACAGUUUAUGCCGCAUGGCAUAAGAGUGAAAGGCGCUUUCGGGUGUCGCUGAUGGAUGGACCCGCGGUGCAUUAGCUAGUUGGUGAGGUAACGGCUCACCAAGGCCACGAGGCAUAGCCGACCUGAGAGGGUGAUCGGCCACACUGGGACUGAGACACGGCCCAGACUCCUACGGGAGGCAGCAGUAGGGAAUCUUCGGCAAUGGACGAAAGUCUGACCGAGCAACGCCGCGUGAGUGAAGAAGGUUUUCGGAUCGUAAAACUCUGUUGUUAGAGAAGAACAAGGACGUUAGUAACUGAACGUCCCCUGACGGUAUCUAACCAGAAAGCCACGGCUAACUACGUG
rnacentral:rRNA from 1 species